rnacentral:rRNA from 1 species
AGAGUUUGAUCAUGGCUCAGAACGAAUGCUGGUGGUAUGCUUAACACAUGCAAGUCGAACGAAAUUUACAGAGCUUGCUUUGUAAAUUUAGUGGCAAACGGGUGAGUAAUAUAUAGGAAUCUACCUAGCAGUAUGGAAUAACUUUGGGAAACCAGGGCUAAUACCAUAUAUUACCGAUUUAUCGGGAAAGAUUUAUCGCUGUUAGAUGAGCCUGUAUCAGAUUAGCUUGUUGGUAGGGUAAUGGCCUACCAAGGCAAUGAUCUGUAGCUGGUCUGAGAGGACGAUCAGCCACACUGGAACUGCGACACGGUCCAGACUCCUACGGGAGGCAGCAGUGGGGAAUAUUGGACAAUGGGCGAAAGCCUGAUCCAGCAAUAGCACGUGAAUCAUGAAGGCCUUCGGGUUGUAAAACUCUUUUAGUAGGGAAGAUAAUGACG